rnacentral:rRNA from 1 species
AUUGGACGCUGGCGGCAGGCCUAACACAUGCAAGUCGAGCGGAUGAAGGGAGCUUGCUCCUGGAUUCAGCGGCGGACGGGUGAGUAAUGCCUAGGAAUCUGCCUGGUAGUGGGGGAUAACGUCCGGAAACGGGCGCUGAUACCGCAUACGUCCUGAGGGAGAAAGUGGGGGAUCUUCGGACCCCACGCUAUCAUAUGAGCCUAGGUCGGAUUAGCUAGUUGGUGGGGUAAAGGCCUACCAAGGCGACGAUCCGUAACUGGUCUGAGAGGAUGAUCAGUCACACUGGAACUGAGACACGGUCCAGACUCCUACGGGAGGCAGCAGUGGGGAAUAUUGGACAAUGGGCGAAAGCCUGAUCCAGCCAUGCCGCGUGUGUGAAGAAGGUCUUCGGAUUGUAAAGCACUUUAAGUUGGGAGGAAGGGCAGUAAGUUAAUACCUUGCUGUUUUGACGUUACCAACAGAAUAAGCACCGGCUAACUUCGUG